rnacentral:rRNA from 1 species
ACUCCUGCGGGAGGCAGCAGUGGGGAAUAUUGGACAAUGGGCGCAAGCCUGAUCCAGCCAUGCCGCGUGAGUGAUGAAGGCCCUAGGGUUGUAAAGCUCUUUCACCGGUGAAGAUAAUGACGGUAACCGGAGAAGAAGCCCCGGCUAACUUCGUGCCAGCAGCCGCGGUAAUACGAAGGGGGCUAGCGUUGUUCGGAUUUACUGGGCGUAAAGCGCACGUAGGCGGACUAUUAAGUCAGGGGUGAAAUCCCGGGGCUCAACCCCGGAACUGCCUUUGAUACUGGUAGUCUUGAGUUCGAGAGAGGUGAGUGGAAUUCCGAGUGUAGAGGUGAAAUUCGUAGAUAUUCGGAGGAACACCAGUGGCGAAGGCGGCUCACUGGCUCGAUACUGACGCUGAGGUGCGAAAGCGUGGGGAGCAAACAGGAUUAGAAACCCCUGUAGUCCC